AGGCAGUGACAAGAAAUAACAACUCUUGGAUUUCUAAGAAGUGUAAUGAGGAUAAUUUACAACCCUUACCGAAAGCAAUUGGAGGGCAAGUCUGGUGCCAGCAGCCGCGGUAAUUCCAGCUCCAAUAGCGUAUAUUAAAGUUGUUGCAGUUAAAAAGCUCGUAGUUGAAGUUCUGAUUGUUCGGGCCUCGCGCUUUAUAGCCGAGGAACCGACAGUCAUCCGCUUGCAAAUAUAUGUUCGCCUUUAACCGGGUGGCUAUAUGAGUAAGCAAUUUACCUUGAGAAAAACAGAGUGUUCCAGGCAGGUUUGUCCGGAAUGCAUAGCAUGGAAUAAUAGAAUAUGACUGAAGUCGAUUUAUUGGUUUAAGGCUUUAGUAAUGAUUAAUAGGAACAGUCGGGGGCAUUGGUACUUGACAGUCAGAGGUGAAAUUCUAGGAUUUGUCAAAGACUAACAAAUGCGAAAGCAUUUGCCAAGGAUGUUUUCAUUAAUCAAGAACGAAAGUUAGGGGAUCAAAGACGAUCAGAUACCGUCCUAGUCUUAACUAUAAACUAUACCGACUCGGAUUCAGAUGAAUCAAAAAGUUCAUUUGGGACCGUAGAGAAAUCAAAGUUUUUGGGUUCUGGGGGAAGUAUGGUCGCAAGGCUGAAACUUAAAGGAAUUGACGGUUUUGCACCACCAUGGAGUGGAGUUUGCGGCUUAAUUUGACCCAACACUGGGAAACUCAUCAGGGCAAGAGGAUUUUAGGAUUGACAGAUUGAGAGUUCUUUCUUGAUUGGUCUAGUGGUGGUGCAUGGCCGUUCUUAGUUGGUGGAGUGAUUUGUCUGGUUAAUUCCGUUAACGAACGAGACCUUAACCUGCUAACUAGUAUUAGUAUCCCAAAUACUAACUACUUCUUAGAGGGACUAUGUGAUGUAAUCACAUGGAAGUUUGAGGCAAUAACAGGUCUGUGAUGCCCUUAGAUGUCCUGAGCUGCACGCGUACUACAACGGCACUUUCAACGAGCAUUUCCUGAUCCGAAAGGAUUUGGGUAAUCUUUUUAGUGAGUGCCGUGAUUGGGAUAGAUCUUUGUAAUUAUGGAUCUUGAACUAGGAAUUCCUAGUAACCGCGAGUCAUCAGCUCGUGCUGAUUACGUCCCUGCAAAAUGUACACACCGCCCGUCGCUUUUACCGAUUGAGUGCUCAGGUGAACCUUCUCGAUAGUGCAAACUAGAAAUUAAGUAAACCUUAGCACUUAGAGGAAAAAGAAGUCGUAACAAGGUUUCCGUAGGUGAACCUGCGGAA
rnacentral:rRNA from 1 species